rnacentral:rRNA from 1 species
AUUGAACGCUGGCGGAAUGCUUUACACAUGCAAGUCGAACGGCAGCACGGACUUCGGUCUGGUGGCGAGUGGCGAACGGGUGAGUAAUGUAUCGGAACGUGCCCAGUCGUGGGGGAUAACGUAGUGAAAAUUACGCUAAUACCGCAUACGAUCUAUGGAUGAAAGCGGGGGAUCGCAAGACCUCGCGCGAUUGGAGCGACCGAUAUCAGAUUAGGUAGUUGGUGGGGUAAAGGCCCACCAAGCCAACGAUCUGUAGCUGGUCUGAGAGGACGACCAGCCACACUGGAACUGAUACACGGUCCAGACUCCUACGGGAGGCAGCAGUGGGGAAUUUUGGACAAUGGGCGAAAGCCUGAUCCAGCCAUUCCGCGUGCAGGAUGAAGGCCCUCGGGUUGUAAACUGCUUUUGUACAGAACGAAAAGGUUUCUACUAAUACUAGGAGCUCAUGACGGUACUGUAAGAAUAAGCACCGGCUAACUACGUGCCAGCCGCCGCAGUAA